rfam:Triticum aestivum genome assembly, contig: Triticum_aestivum_CS42_TGACv1_scaffold_342637_4DL
UCGUAGCACCAACUGGGACCAAUGCCCCCCUUUAGUCCCGGUUGGUGCCACCAACCGGGACUAAAGGGGGGCAUUGGUCCCGGUUGGUGCUACGAA